CAGGAGCUGAGUGUCCAAGUGACAGAAGACAGAGCACAGUUACAGCAACGUGAACAAACUCCAUCAUGGCUCGUCUGCUGAUAGUGUGGCUUCAGACUCUGAAGUGUGUUCUAGAUAUACGAGACUCAGGCCAGUGUGGCACCAGAGGAAUUCAAAGCCAGUAUCAAUCGUGUGAACAGCUGCCUGAGAAAGACGCUCCCGGUGAAUGUGCGGUGGCUUCUGUGUGGUUGUCUUUGUUGCUGUUGCACACUGGGCUUCAGUUUGUGGCCCGUCAUCUGCCUCAGCAAAAGGACAAGAAGAUCUAUAGAGAAACUUUGGAGUAGGAAAACAGCAGACUUUACCACAAGUUGUGUUUGCAUUGGAGACUAAGCAAAAGGAAGUGUGAAACCAACAACAUGAUGGAAUAUGUAAUCCUAAUAGAAUUCCUACCUAAGGUCC